CAGUCGCCGCGGUAAUACGAAGGGUGCAAGCGUUAAUCGGAAUUACUGGGCGUAAAGCGUGCGUAGGCGGUGAGUUAAGUCUGCUGUGAAAUCCCCGGGCUCAACCUGGGAAUGGCAGUGGAUACUGGCUCGCUAGAGUGUGUCAGAGGAUGGUGGAAUUCCCGGCGUAGCGGUGAAAUGCGUAGAGAUCGGGAGGAACAUCAGUGGCGAAGGCGGCCAUCUGGGACAACACUGACGCUGAGGCACGAAAGCGUGGGGAGCAAACAGGAUUAGAUACCCCAGUAGUCCCUGUCUCUUAUAC
rnacentral:rRNA from 1 species